rnacentral:rRNA from 1 species
GUAGGGGGCCAGCGUUGUCCGGAUUCAUUGGGCGUAAGGAGCGUGUAGGCGGUUCAAUAGGUCCGAUGUGAAAACUCGAGGCUCAACCUCGAGAGGUCGUCGGAAACCAUUGAGCUAGAGUCCGGAAGAGGAGAGUGGAAUUCCUGGUGUAGCGGUGAAAUGCGCAGAUAUCAGGAAGAACACCGAUGGCGAAGGCAGCUCUCUGGGACGGUACUGACGCUGAGACGCGAAAGCGUGGGGGGGAGCGAACAGGAUUAGAUACCCUGGUAGUCCACGCCGUAAACGAUGGGCACUAGGUGUGGGUGGUGUCGACUCCAUCCGUGCCGCAGCUAACGCAUUAAGUGCCCCCGCCUGGGAGUACGGCCGCAAGGCUA